AACGAACGCUGGCGGCAUGCUUAACACAUGCAAGUCGAACGAGAUCUUCGGAUCUAGUGGCGCACGGGUGAGUAACGCGUGGAAACCUACCAUUCUGUACGGAAUAACGGUUGGAAACGGCCGCUAAUACCGUAUACGCCCUGUGGGGGAAAGGUCCGCCGCAGAAUGAGGGGUCCGCGUCCGAUUAGCUUGUUGGUGAGGUAAUGGCUCACCAAGGCUGCGAUCGGUAGCUGGUCUGAGAGGAUGAUCAGCCACACUGGGACUGAGACACGGCCCAG
rnacentral:rRNA from 1 species